rnacentral:rRNA from 1 species
UACGGAGGGGACUAGCGUUGUUCGGAAUUACUGGGCGUAAAGCGCACGUAGGCGGAUUUGUAAGUCAGGGGUGAAAUCCCCGGGCUCAACCCGGGAACUGCGUCCGAUACUGGGAGGCUUGAAUCCGGGAGAGGGAUGUGGAAUUCCAGGUGUAGCGGUGAAAUGCGUAGAUAUCUGGAGGAACACCGGUGGCGAAGGCGGCAUCCUGGACCGGUAUUGACGCUGAGGCGCGAAAGCCAGGGGAGCAAACGGG